rnacentral:rRNA from 1 species
UACGGGGGGGGCAAGCGUUGUUCGGAAUUACUGGGCGUAAAGGGCUCGUAGGUGGCCAACUAAGUCAACCGUGAAAUCCCUCAGCUUAACUGGGGAACUGCGUGUGAUACUGGAUGGCUUGGAUUUGGGAGAGGGAUGCGGAAUUCCAGGUGUAGCGGUGAAAUGCGUAGAUAUCUGGAGGAACACCGGUGGCGAAGGCGGCAUCCUGGACCAAUAUUGACGCUGAGGAGCGAAAGCCAGGGGAGCAAACGGG